AUUGAACGCUGGCGGCAGGCCUAACACAUGCAAGUCGAACGAGUGGCGGACGGGUGAGUAAUGUCUGGGAAACUGCCUGAUGGAGGGGGAUCACUACUGGAAACGGUAGCUAAUCCCGCAUACUCUCAUAUGUGCCCAGAUGGGAGUGGCUGGAUGGUGGGGUAAGGGCUCACCAAGGCGACGAUCCCUAGAUGGUCUGUGAGGAUGACCAGCCACACUGGAACUGAGACACGGUCCAGAGUCCUACGGGAGGCAGCAGUGGGUAAUAUUGCGCAAUGGGGGCAAGCCUGAUGCAGCCAUGCCGCGUGUAUGAAGAAGGCCUUCGGGUUGUAAAGUACUUUCAGCGGGGAGGCGUUACCCGCAGAAGAAGCACCGGCUAACUCCGUGCCAGCAGCCGCGGUAAUAC
rnacentral:rRNA from 1 species